rnacentral:rRNA from 1 species
CGACCAAAGGGGAUGNCNUUAGUACGGCGAGUGAAGCGGCAAAAGCUCAAAUUUGAAAUCUGGCACCUUCGGUGUCCGAGUUGUAAUUUGAAGAAGGUAACUUUGGAGUUGGCUCUUGUCUAUGUUCCUUGGAACAGGACGUCACAGAGGGUGAGAAUCCCGUGCGAUGAGAUGCCCAAUUCUAUGUAAAGUGCUUUCGAAGAGUCGAGUUGUUUGGGAAUGCAGCUCUAAGUGGGUGGUAAAUUCCAUCUAAAGCUAAAUAUUGGCGAGAGACCGAUAGCGAACAAGUACAGUGAUGGAAAGAUGAAAAGAACUUUGAAAAGAGAGUGAAAAAGUACGUGAAAUUGUUGAAAGGGAAGGGCUUGAGAUCAGACUUGGUAUUUUGCGAUCCUUUCCUUCUUGGUUGGGUUCCUCGCAGCUUACUGGGCCAGCAUCGGUUUGGAUGGUAGGAUAAUGACUAAGGAAUGUGGCUCUACUUCGGUGGAGUGUUAUAGCCUUGGUUGAUACUGCCUGUCUAGACCGAGGACUGCGUCUUUUGACUAGGAUGUUGGCAUAAUGAUCUUAAGCCACCCGUCUUGAGCAAACGGACCAAAA